rnacentral:lncRNA from 1 species
CUGUGAACCUACGGUUUGGAAAAUGCAGAUCCCACUGUAGUCCUCGAUGAGAUCAGCUAUCUACAGUCUAUACUGAACCUGAAAUGGGUGGAAAGGAGGGUGGUGAGAUUAUAAAAUCCCAAUGAGUAAACAAACAUCAUCAUAAACAUCUAGAGUUGAGUACAUGGAGACAAUAAAGUAAAUCAUCAUAAACUGGGUUAUAGCAUUAGAACACAUUUUGUUCAAAACACGUAAAGAGGCUUAUGAAUCUCAUAAAAAUCUAGGCUUGUGCCAUAAAUCCAUUCUCGGGGACACCUUGGCCGAGGCAUCCUACCGAGACCGCCAAGGCUAUUAAAAUUCACAUUUCACAUAAAUCAUGUUUUUGUUUUGAAAACAUAGCCGUUCCUUGGCGUUGGCUGAGUUCCCCCUCACGUGGUGGUUUAGCGUGAAGUGAACCCUAAACUUUACCCCAGGAGAUACCCUACGCGCCUCUCCGUUCGAGGUAAGAAUAUAAUGGGGUUUACCGUGCCCCUCUAAAAGGCUGGUCCACAGAAACCCCCUACUGCAGUGAUUAAUUAAUAUAUAAUCCACCAUAUAAUAAAACUCAAUAACAUGAUAUGGCAAUUUUGUAAUUCGUAGUUUUUCAAGGUAACCAAACAAUUCGCAUUUCAAUACAAUUGCCAACUAGCCAAUCAUGCUCGAUUUAUCAUAAGCCAGUUAAUUUAAACAAUCAAAUUGCCACAAUUAACAGUCUCCGUGUACUCUAUUUUUCAAAAUCACUAUUAAUUUCAAAACAAUUUAUAAUUUAAUUUCAUUGAAACUCAUUUAUUCAUAAAACAUGAAAAUUUAUCUUUUUAAAUUCCUUUUUCCAUAGAAUUCAUGAAAGCAUCUAAAAACCACCCUAGAUAAUUAAAAUGACAGUAAGUUUACUCACAAUGUCUAGAAUGCAGACUUUCGAAGCACUCUGUCUACUGGUCCUCGGAUGCAAUUUCCUUGCCUUUAUCGGAGGACUCACCACCUUGACACAGUACAAAAUCGAGAGUUUCACCAAGUUGGUACUAAAUCAAAAUUAAACUAAUUUAGACUACCAAUGCAUGAUAUGGAAUGCAAAAAUGCACUGGUAACUAUCUAAACCCGGUAUUGGCCUAAUUCGUCUUAUCACCCGAUUAAAUUCCUAACGGGUCCGUUUAAACUCCAAUUUAAUUCUUUUCAGUUUCUAUACCUCAAUUGCACCCAAAUUAACUUAAUGUCCCUCAGUGUGGUGCAAAUUAUCAGUCCCAACAGCAAAUUACGAAAAUACCCCUAGUGGGUAAAAAUUCGUAUUUUUGCUCCGAAAAUUCCCAUUAUUUUUCUAGGCUCAUAAUUCAUUAUUCCUUAACCAAUUCUCCUAGAAUAAAAUCAAACUCAUCCUCACUCACUACAUGGUAAAUUCAGCCAUUAAUGGUUGGGGGAGAAAAUAAAUUCUUUUCUUGUUGUUUUGUUUCUAAAUAUGCUAAACUAACUAAAAACACUAACAUAAAUUAAAAUCAAAUAAAUCCAACAACUUUCUCUCUCCUAACCCAUUUUUUCAGAAUUGAAUUCAUCAUGAAAACAUGUAAUUUAAUCAUGGAAAAUAAAGAGAAAUGCUUGGGAAUAAGAAAACUCAAGCUUAAUAGAAAAAAUCUCACCUUUUUCACUUAAUUUCCUUGAAAAUUCACACUUUUUCUUUGAUUUUCUCUCUCUAGGGUUUUGUUUUUGUUUUCUCUCUCUUCUUGCUGGUUUGGCCGGCCAUGGGUGGAAGAUGAGCUGAUUUUUGUGCUUUUAAAAAAGAAAAAUAAUAAAUUAAUAAAGGCAUGACACGUGGCAUCAUGUCAUUGGUCCGUUUUUUAAAUUUUAAAAAUUUAAACAUUUUAUCUCCACCACAUGAUUAGUCAAAGGUCAAAGAUGAAGAUAAAGGAAGACCAUGUGCUGGAAAAAUAUCCUGGCGGUGGAAAAUUACAAUUUUGCCCAUGAGGUGGCAAAAUUACCAUUUUACCCUUUUACUCCAAAUUAUAUCGAAAUUAAAAUUUUUCACUUCUAAACCUCAAAUCAUACUCCAAUAAGUCAAAUUAUACUCCAAUAAGACAAUUGGGGUCAAAAAAAUCUUUGCUAAAAUUUUCAUUUUGUCCGCAGGUGGCAAAUGACCAUUUUGCCCUUAGUUAGUGAAAAUUCCGAUUUGACUCCAAAUUGAUCCUCAAACUCCAAAUUACCAUUUUAAGUCAUCCAUGAACUGUGAAACUCUUAAUCUCACCUUAAAAUUCCUUUUUGAUCUAGUUCGAGGAUUAAAUAAAUUUUGUUGUACCUCUAGGUACAAUACCGACUUUUGUAAAUUUUUCGGGACUCUCCUAACAUGCAAUCAUGCUAUCAUCACAUGUAUGUCAUGAAUAGUAUUUUAUAAGGUCGGGCUUUACAAGUUAUUUUGAUUUCCAGGCAAAUUUUAUUGUGAAUUUUUAAAUCUUGCUUCUCGCCAUACUAAUAUAAUUUUAAUGUCGAAUUUCUAAAGAUUAGUUAGAUCAUAAGGUGCAAAAAUUAAUUCUACAAUUAAAGUAGUAAGCUGAUGAUAUUGUGGCGCGUUAUUUAUGCGAGAAUCCAAUUCUGCUAACUUUUGUAAAGGUCUAGCUUUUUAAAUAAAGUUUAAGUGCCUUAGAAAAUGUUGAAAAUUAAGGAACGCGUUGGAAAUGUUAUGAGAUGGGUGAUUAUGUGCGGAUGAUGAUGGAGGUAAAGCUACCAAAACGUGGCUGAAAUAGGUGUUAUUUGCAACAGUAACAGUCAUGGUUUUGUUCAGCUCGGCAACCAAGAAAGGCCUAAAUUUGUACAAUUUGUUGCACCAAUUAGCUGAGGAUAUUUUUAUGGAAAGGUUCCAUAAAUUAUCCAAAUUAUUGCCAAGAAUUUUAAGGAUUUAAAUCCCUAAAAUUAAGCCUUCAUAAAACUGGUGGAGUCAAAACUGUUGCUACCUUUAAAGCAACAAGCCAUGGUUUUUGAAUUUUUUGAUAGCCAAAAACAUUCCCUAAAAUACUAAAAAAUUACUAUGGAAUUGUUCUAUUAGUUUUCUAUCAAGAAAAAUUUAAUUGGAAAUUAAAUUCCUGAUUUUAUGCCACCAAAUAGCUUCAACGAAAAGAUAAAACUGAAACUACCUCUGUAGAUAAAGGUCAAGGUUUUGAAUUUUUUGACAAUAAAAAACAUUUCCUAAAAUCCUAAAAAAAUAUUCUAGAAUAGUUCCAUGAGUUAUCUAUCAAGAUAAAUUUUAUUACAAAUUAAAUUCCUAAGUUACAUUAUAAAGAGUUUCAAAAGCACUCAAAAACCAAUUUUGCCACCUGCAGAUAAAGGUCACGGUUUUUGAAUUUUUUCAAUAGCCAAAUCACCUCACAAAAUUAGGGAUGUCAAUGGGUCGGGUACCCUAUAAUUUCGAGGUAUCCAAACCCUAACCCUAUUAAAAAUUAACUACCCUAACCCUAUUAACUACCCGAAUAAUUUAAAAAUUACUACCCUAACCCUAACCCUAAUGCAUUCCUACUACCCUAUAAUUACCCUAACUUGUUUAAAUACCCGAAUAAAUAAAAAAAUUAUUAAAAUCUUCUUCAUGGGUACCCAAUUACCCAAUUAACUUUUCUAAUCUCAUAACUUCUCUUUAGAUUUAUAUGUUAUAAAUUUAUAUAAACAAAGGUAUAUAUACUGUAAUUAAUAAUUUUAUGAGUUAUAAUUUUUGCAAUAUUAACACAAAAUAAAAAGUAAAUAUAUUUAUAUUUAAACAACAUAUAUAUAUACACACACAUAUAUAAAAAAUAUUUUAAUAUAUAAAAUAGUAAUUAUAUUUCUUAUAAAUUAACACAAUAUAUAAACUAUAUAUAUUAAAAGACAUUACAAGUUAAUUAAUAAUAAUAGUUUCAUGAAUUAAUUUAAUUAAUUAUAAGGAUUUAUUCUUAAUUUCAUGAAAUUAUAAAAAAAUAUUUAGGUUCCAAAACUAUUCUAAUAUCAAAAGCUUUCUUUAAGUAUAUAUAUUAUAAGAUUAUAUAAAUAAUGGUAUAUAUAUAAUAAUUAAUAAUUUUAUAAGUCAUAAUUUUUGUAAUGUUAACAUAAAAUAGAAAGUAAAUAUUGUAUAUUAAAAGUAUAUAUAUAAUAGUACUUAUAUUCCUUUAUAAUAUGAUAUAAUAUUCAAAUUAUUUAAACAUAAUUAACAAUCUAAUAAUUUUUUAAUUUAAAUAUAUUAAUGUCAUCAUAUUAAUAAUUAGAGUAACCAUACUUUUCAUAUACUUGUUAGUUUUUAACAAAAACAAAUUGCUUGUAAAGUUGAUAGAAAUUGUAAAUUUUUAAUUUAAUUAUUAAAAUAAUAAUAAAAUAUUUAUAAAUAGUAAUCAGGUUCGGGUAAUGAGUACCCAAGGGGUGGUAUCCGAACCCCACCCGAAUCCAAUUCGGGUAGUAAAAUAACUACCCGAACCCUUUUAUGGAGUACCCUAACCCGGUGUAACCGGGUAGGUUACCCAUUGACAUCCCUACACAAAAUCCUUAAAAUUUAUUCUGAAAUAGUUCCAUGAGUUUUCUAGUAGAAUAAAUUUUAUUUGAAUUAAAUUCCUAAAAAUAGAGCACCACAAUCCAUGUAAUUAAGACAUGUCUGCUGUUGUCUGUAGCAAGACACUAUCUUGGUUAAGACAUAGGAUAUGUCUAAAUUUUACACCAAUAAAUGAUAAAUUAAAUUAGUUAGUUGGCUGAGGAUUAUUUAUAGAAUUAGUUCCAUAGCAUGCUGAUUUUUGAAACAUUUAAUUUAAGGAAUAUGAAUCCUAAAAUUAAGAAUGUCAAAGAUGAUGCAUUAUCAUGCAUCAUAUAAAGAAAUAUGAUUUCUUAAAUUAUGAAAGUUAAAAUAUCUUCAUUAGCUACUUAAAUAUUUUUGGAAUAUGUUCCACAAAUAUUGAAAAUUGAUUUCAUAAAUUCUGGAAUGUGAUUCCUUAAUUUAAGGGUGUCAAAGUUUAAAUAAUUUAAGACAAUAUUAAUCUAAGAAUUAGAUUCCUAGUAGUAGUAAGAGUCUAAAUAUUUAUGAACAAAUUUGGUUUGAAUUGACUUCUUCUAAUUUGACAUUAAAUUUAAAGAUUAAACUGUCUAAGAUAUUCCCUAAUAAGAUUAGGUAAUAAUAGACACUCGUUGUUUAAUUAAAUGAGAUUUAUAAUUGGUUGCCCAAAAUGUUUAGGAACACAAAUUAAAAUGUUUUUAAUUUGUAAUUUGUAGUAAAAUUUUAAUUAUAAUCCUAAUAAAAUUAGGAGUUAAAGAAUUACUAAUUUUGAUUAGUAAAAGUUUUUAUUGUUAGAAUUAAAAAUAAAAAAAUUGCAAACCCGAAAAUUUGAAAUUAGUGAAAUUCAAAUAAAAAAAAUUUGCUAAUCUUAAAUACCUCGUAUGAUUAGCAAUUUGAAUAAGACAUGUUUUAAAUUUUUGUAUGUUCAUGUUGAUGAAUUUAUAUAGAUAUUUAUUGACUUAGGCUCAAUAUGAUUGUGCUAUAAUUGAAGUCUAUAUUUAUCUCAAGUAAUUUGCAUGUGAUAUAUUUAUUUUAUGAGAUUUAAUAAAUGUUAUGCAAUACAAAAUAGUAAGUAUAUGAUAGAUAUAUUUUAUGCGAUUUAAUAAAUUCUAUGCAUGCAAAAUGAAACCUUAAUAAGUUUGUAAAACAAAAUCCCUUAUGAAAAUAUUAAGUCACAUGUUAUGCAUGACUAAGUUGCUUUCCACCAUAUAGCAGGAUAACAUGGCUACUAUUUUAAUCAAAGACUUGUUAAGCACACUCAAGGCCACGUUGUUACAUGAGUAUGUUUGAGCUAUUGGUGGGUCUUACUCAACUAGAUUUAUAAAAUCCGAAUGCUUGAAAACUUGAUUAUUAUGGAAGUUAGAGGCAAUGGUUAGACGAAACAUAUAUGAUACGUUUAGUCAAUGUGUUGUCACCUAGCUGAUCUAGAAGUCACAUAAGAGAUGUGAUCGAUAAACUAAGUUAUCUACCCAAUUAGGCAUAUCAUGGCUUGUUAAGCAUACUCAAGGUCAUGAAAAGUUGAAUGAGGUCCUAGCCCAUUAGAAAGUUCCUAAAAGAGACUUUCCGAAAUGACAUUGAGGGUUGUCAUUUUGCAUAAAAAAUAGUGAGAGACCUACUUAAAAUUUUAAAGCCUUGUUUUAAAUAGUUUAUGCAUGAUUAUAUUUAUUGCUUUUAUCUUAUCUAUUCAGACAUAAUCUAUAUGAAUGGCUAACAACUUGUCACUUCAAAGCAUCUUGAAUGUAAACAAAAUGGCCCAAACUUCUUGAUUGGUUUUGGAACCUCAAGAUCAUCUGGAAACAGGAAAAGAAAUCAUAUGUCCUUGACACACUUAUUCCACUAGUCUUUGCUAAUGAUGCUAAAGCUGAGGAUAAAAAGGCAUAUCAAUGUUAUAAGGAUGAUAAUGAUCAGGUAGCGUGCGUGAUGCUAACCAGUAUGACCCAUAAGCUCCAAAAGCAGCAUAAACACAUGGAUAUCCAAUCCAUGAUUCUUUAUCUUAGAGAAUUGUUCGGUAAGAAAGGCACACUUAAAGAUAUAAGAUCUUUUAGGAAUUGUUCCAAUGCAAUAUGGUAAAGGGGAGUUCUGUCAGACCCCACAUACUGAAGAUGAUUAAACUAAUUGAGAGGCUUGGACAAUUAGGAAUAAUGAUGGAUCAUGAGCUGAGUACUAACUUAGUUCUACAAUCUCUUUCUGAUUACUUCAGUCAGUUCGUGUUAAACUUCCAUAUGAACCAUUUAGAAACUACUAUUCCUGAACUUUUGACUAUGACAAUUAAGUCCAUCAAAAGGGAAAAAGGAGCUUAGCUUCUUGUUUCUUCUUCAAAGGCUCAAAUGAAGCAAAAGAAGAAAAAAAAAACCAAAAAGGGAAAAAAGGUAACAUCCCAAAAUCAGAAGGCACUGAAGCUUAAGAGAGGUGUUAAAAAAGACAAAGAGAAGGAUAUUUGCCAUCACUGUGGCAAACUUGGGCAUUGGAGGAGGAGUUGUAAGGAGUACCUAGUUGUUGUAAGCAAGAAGAAGAAACUUAUUGAAGUUUAUAAUUCAAGUGCCAUUUCUUAAGAUAUAUUACUUUAUAUUAUAGAAGUAUAUGACACUUUAUGUUGGUCCGAAUAUGUAUGACAUGUUGCAGAGACCAAGAACAAAGAUGAGUAAGAUCUUAGUUGAGGAGGUGAGCACAUCCAUUGACUACAUAAACCAUUGGAUGCCACAUAUGGAUGGAUGUGCUCCUAUUUAAACUUAUGAUUUGAUUUAUUGGAUAAUUUGGUUAAACUUUUUGACAUUUAUUGCCAUAUAGAUGACUUGUGAAACAUUUAUAUUUAUCAUUUGGAUGUUAAAGUUUUAAUGUUUCAUGUUUGGAUAAUUAUUUGGAAUAAUUAUAUCUUAUUUUUAUCAUUAUCUACUUUUCAUAUUUCUCCUUGCAAUGGUAUUUAAUCAAUUAUAAAUUAUGAUUCAUGUCAAAUUAGUUUGAUUAAAAUAAAAUAAAUCAAUUAAAGUUAAUCAACUAAUCAUGUGCUAAUCAAUUAAUUAAGUGACCCUACUUAAGAUAAGAUUUUAGUUAAAGAUCAUUUGAGUUUGUUAUUAAUUGAUCAAAGGAAUGAAUGUCAAUUCAUGUGAAGAUGGAACCUUUUCAUGAUAGAACAUAGAGAUGUUUAUUCAAAGAGGAAAGCAAAGUCAUAUUUUGAUGUGAUUUGGUCCACCUCUCCAAUACAUUAAGCCCAUAAUGGUAUUCUACAACCAAUACAAUUCCAACUAUGCAUUGGCAUGUAUGUACGUAACUUUGUGGAAUAUUCAAAAGAGUUUGAAUAUUAUUCUCACAAAGAAUCUUGAAUUUAGUGGGAGCAUGAUGACAUUAAGAAAAUAGUUUCUUAAUAUUACUGUGUUACAUUGGAAUUCAAUACUAGAGCUUUUGCAUUAAGUUGCAUAAUCAAUAUAGUUGUAUGAGAACACCAUGGACUUAGUAAGAUACAUUGAGAUGUACUUUUCAUAUUAAAUGAAUCUACUAAAUAUGAUUUAAUGGAAUUUCACCCUUUAUUCUAUUUAGUGUGAUCCAAAGUGUUGGAUAUAAUAGAAUAUGUUGGUGCACCUGUCUCAUAUACAUGAGGAGAUUAGUGAAAGUGAAUAUAGUUCUUUAUUGAUACAAUUAUGUAAGAUGUAAUAUGUGUAUAAAGAAAAAAGCCAAGUUUUAAAUUAGUAAUGGAUGGCACAAUACUAAGUCACAAAAUGCAUGUGAUGCAUAAAGCAUAGUCAAGUUGGAAUAGUUCCAAAGUUAGAAAAAGAAUAUGAAUAUGUUUAUAAAUAAGGUCAUAUACAUCCAAUUAAAAGCUCGAGUAUGACGAUAUUUAAAUCAUUAGCUCAUGAACUAAUAAAAGGUUCUAGCCAUCGUUAAGAUAACAACAAAGCCACACUAAAAACUUAAGUCUCAUUGGAUCAAAAUAUAGUAAUAUGACAAGAUGUUGUGACAUCACAAGGAUAAGAGCAAUUAAUGACAUUAAAGGGCACGAGCGAGUCAAUAAAGAGACACGGUUGCUAAAUGGAUUAGUUCCACAUUGCGAUGAGAUAGCCAUUGGCUUUGUGUUAGUGGCAAAAUGUUAGGAUCAGCUUUAUAGCCAAUUGAGAUUGGUCAAGGCUUGGUUUCAAACAUUCAAUGAUAUUAUUCAUAUUGAAUGAUUAGAGGCUUUUUUCAUCAAUAAGACAUUGAUUAUAAUGAGUUAUACUUAUAAUUAGAUGAAGUCUUGGAGAUUAAUAUGCCUUGUAAAGGAAUUGUAAUGGGUUGCAGUUAUGAGAUCCCUAUGCAUCAAAGCAUAAUCUCAAAAUGUUCUUGGUCAAUAUAUCAUUGAGACUGGACAUCAAUGAUACUUACAGACUAGUAAAUUCUAUAUUCUUUACUUUAGAAGUAAGCAAUUGAUCUAAUAAAUUCAAGUAUAGAGAUACUUGGAACUAGAAUGUAAGUGCUUGCCUAGAAGAACAAGUUCACUGAACAUGACUCACCAUGGGAAGUGCAUUUGAUAAUACAUUCUAGUGUCUAUGCAACACUUCUCAUGAGUCAGUCAUGUAAAUACUCCUUUGACUUGAGACACUAGGUUGUCUUAUAUGUGGAGUGCUAUGCUUUAAUUUCAUCCCUAUUGUGCUUAACCAAAGAUGCCGAAGCAAGAUGCUUUUGGGUAUAAUAUAAAGUAUAUGAAGGCAAAUAAGUGGUCAAGAUAGGAAUCAUCACCUCAAAUGUUUUUAAAGGACAUAUCCUAUUAGUUCUUAGUUAACAUUAGCUUAUUGAAGUCUUUGGCCAAGGUGACUUGGAGAUUAUGAAAAGGUUUCAUAAGUUUUUAUAAAACUAAUGCUAAAAGUACAAGAACAAAUAUGGAGGUCAAUAACAAUAUACACUAUACCAAGUUUUUAUCAUCUCCGAAAUAUAUGAUGAGGGAAUGAAUUACAUUAAUCAACUAUAUACUAAAAGGUUGUCAAAUAACUCUUUGCCUCUCCUGAUAAUUGGGUGACCAUGAUGCAUUACCAGAUGCCAAUCUUGGUCUAUGGAAUUGAUUAUAAAUUAAUUUAUUGAUAUUUAUAUUAAUCAAUUAAGUUAUUAAUCAAUUCCAUUGCCAACAUGUUAGGAAUUUAAUGGAUCACACACAAUGAUUGCAUUUGAAUCAAAUUGAGAGAGUGAUGAUUUAUGUCACGACCCGGUACUCCCCUCGAGACCGUGACAACCGUCGCGACGUCCUAAUCGACACUCCUUACCCCGAAUGUCAACCGGAACCCCGCAAGACUUUAAUAUCAACUUCUCAUUUCCCCUGUGAGUAACUGUUGCCAAAUACCACGUUCUAAAAGAUUUUAAACUGUUUCCAACUUAAAACAAAUAAAAUAAUAAUUUUCGUCUCACAGGGGUAUUUUGGUCAUUUUCCUAAAAAAUUUCGAAACCGACUAAAAUGUAAUUUAUAAGUACAAAACACAUAAUUCAUAAUCAAAAUGUGUUUAAAAGUCUAAAAUCUUCAUUUAAAACGAAAUUAUGGUUAUUUGAAUAUAAUAAGAAAAUAAAGGAAAUAUUAAGUAAAAUAUUCUAUUUUCUUAUGAAAUAAUAUUUUUAGACUUAUACAUAAUUAAUUUUUGGAGCGUAAAAGCUAAAUAAAUAUAUAAAUACUGUAAUACAGUAAGCUAAAAUAUUUAAUUUAAUUUACAAUAAUAAGUGGGCCCUCGAAUACACAAAAGUAAAGAGGACUAUAAACUUACAAUUUGAAGAAUGCAAACCCAACGGUAGUCCUCGAUGAGAUCAGCUAUCUACAGUCUAAUCUGAGCUUGAAAUGGAGGGAAAGGAGGGUGGUGAGAUUAUAAAAUCCCAGUGAGUAAACAGACAUCAUCAUAAACAUCUAGAGUUGAGUACAUGGAGACAAUAAAAUAAAUCAUCGUAAACUGGGUCACAAAAUUAAAACACAUUUCAUUCAAAAUACGUAAAGAGGCUUAUGAAUCUCAUAAAAACUAGGCUUGUGCCAUAAAUCCAUUCUCGGGGACACCUUGGCCAAGGCAUCCUACCGAGAUCGCCAAGGCUGUUAAAAAUUCACAUUUCGCAUAAAUCAUGUUUUUAUUUUGAAAACAUAGCCGUUCCCUAGCGUUGGCUGAGUUUCCCCUCACGUGGUGGUUUAGCGUGAAGUGAACCCUAAACUUUACCCCAGGAGAUAUCCUACGCGCCUCUCCGAUCGAGGUAAGAAUAUAAUGGGGUUUACUGUGCCCCUCUAAAAGGCUGGUCCACAUAAACCCCUUAUUGUAGUGAUUAAUUAAUAUAUAGUCCACCAUAUAAUAAAGUUUUGACAACAUGACAGGGCUAAUAAAAUACUACCGAGCCUGCAAGGGUAAAAUAAAAUAAUUCAUACAAUUCAUAAAACACAGCCCAGCUAGUCAUGCCAAUACAAUAACAAUAUAACAUAAGCCAUCAAUUUAAACAAUCAAAUUGUCACAAUUAACAGUUUCCGUGAACUCUAUUUUUUAAAAUCAUUAUUAAUUUCAAAAUAAUUUAUAAUUUAAUUUCAUUGGAACACCUUUAUUCAUAAAACAUGAAAAUUUACCUUUUUAAAUCCAUUUUUUCAUAGAAUUCAUGAAAUCAUCUAAAAACCACCCUAGAUAAUUAAAAUGACAGUAAGUUUACUCACAAUGUCUAGAGUGCAGAUUUUCGAAAUACUUAGACUACUGAUCCUUGGGUGUAUUUCCCUUGCCUUUAUCGAAGGACCCACCACCUUGACAUAGUACAAAAUCGAGAAACUUACUACAUUGGUAUUAAAUUGAAAUUAAACUAAUUUAAACUACUAAUGCAUGAUAUGGAAUGCAAAAAUGCGUUGGUAACUAUCUAAACCCGGUAUUAGCCUAAUUCAUCUUAUCAUCCGAUUCAAUUACUAACGCGUCCAAUUUAAUCCCAAAUUACUCCAUUUCUUUUCUAAUACCUCAAUUCACCAAACAUUAUUCAAAUAACACCAGUUUCAGCAUCAAAACCUUCCCAUUUCUUCAUUUAAAAAUUUAGCCAUUAUAGUGCAUUAACACUGUGAUUUUUCCUACUUAAUUUUCUCACAAUUAUUCAUCAUUUUCUAAGCCAUUUCUCUUGAAAUAAUAACAAUCCAUCACCCACACACAUCAAGGAAGAUUUGGCCAUGAAGAUUCAUGGGGAAAAUGGAUUUCUUUCUUGUUGUUUUGCUUCUAAAUAUGCUAAACUAACUAAAAACACUAACAUAACUUAAAAUCAAAUCAAUCCAACAUCUUUCUCUCUCCAUACCCAUUUUGACUAGCCAUGAAUUCAUCAUGAAAACAUGUAAUUUAAGCAUGAAAAAUAAGGAGAAAUGCUUAAGAAAAAUAGAUUUCUAGCUUAAGUUGAAAAAUCCUACCUUUUUCACUUAUUUUCCUUGAUUUUCCACACUUUUUCUCUUGAAAUUCUUCACCUAGGGUUUGUUCUUCCUUUCUUUUCCUCUCUUCCUUGCUUGGCCGAAUAUUUGGAUAGUAAUGGGCUGAUUUAUGCUGAUUUUUAAGUUAAAUAAUAAAAUAUCUUAAGCUUGAUACUUGUCAUUUUCUUAUUGGUCCAUUUUUAAACUUUAAAAAUUUUAAACCUUUUAUCUCCACCACAUGAUUAGUCAAAGGUCAAAAAUGAGAAUAAGGGAAGACCAUGUGCUGGACAAAUGUCCUGGUGGUGGAAAAUUACAAUUUUGCCCCUAGGGUGACAAAAUUACCAUUUUAUCCGUAUACUCCAAAUUAUACCGAAAUUAAAAUUUUUCACUUCUAAACCUCAAAUCAUACUCCAAUAAGUCAAAUGGGGCCAAAAAAAUCUUUUCUAAAAUUCUCAUUUUGUCCCCAAGUGGCAAAUGACCAUUUUGCCCCUAGAUAGUGAAAAUUUCGGUUUGACUCCAAAUUGAUCCUCGAACUCCGAAUUACCAAUUUGAGUCAUCCUUGGAUCGUGAAACUCUCAAUUUCACCUUAAAAUUCCUAUUUGAACUAGUUCGAGGCUUAAAUCAACUUUGUUGUACCUCUAGGUACAAUACUGACUUUUGUAAAUUUUUCGGAACUCUCUUAGCAUGCAAACAUUCUAUCCAUCACAUGUAUGUCAUGACAAGUAUUUAUAAAGUCGGGCUUGACAAUUUAAGUUAGACUUAAAUCAUAUGCUAGGUAAUUAACUUCUAUAAACUUAAUUAAAAAGAGUUUAAUUAUGUCACGACCCGGAACUCCCAUCGAGCCCGUGACAACCGCCGCGACGUCCCGAUAGGCACUCAUUACCCCGAAUGCCGAUCGAAACCCCGUAAGGCUUAGCAUCAGCUUCUGCAUCUCCCCAGUGAGUGACAGUUAUUAAAUUUCACAUUUCAAAAAAAAAUCAUAAGUCAUUUCCAAAUCAAAACAAUAAAAUAUUACUUUCUGGCUCACAGGGGCAUUUUCGUCAUUUUUCUUCGAAAAUACCAAAACUCGUCAAAAACAUGGUAUAAAAGCUAAAUAUAUUUAUACAUACUUUAAAUCAAAUAACUGAAGAAUAAAAUUACUUUUUCAGUGACACGUGGGCCCCCAACUGACUAAGAAGAUGUAGGGCUAUGAACCCUUACUUCCUAUGAUGCAACUCCGAGAUUAAUUCUCGUCUUAAUCAACUAUCAACAAACUGUCCUGAGCCUAAAAAUGGAUAGGAAGAGGGGUGAGAUUAAAUAAUCCCAGUGAGUAAACAAUUACCAUCAAAAGCAUCUAAAGCCGAGUAGAUGGAGAUAAUAUAAAAACGUUAUAUCUCAAUAAUAUUCAUAACACAAAUUUCGUUUCAAUCUAUACCAAACAAUUUAUUUUCAUCAAAAUUUCCCGCUUAUGAAUUUCUUAAACUUGGCCCCUGCCAAAAUCAUUCUCGCAGGUACCUUCGUCAAGGUAUCCCACUGAGACCGCCAAGGCUGUUCAAUGACCCAUACCCAUAAACAUGUUUUCACAUCUAACACACAGCCGUUCCUUGGCGUUGGCUGAGUCUCACUCUCAN